UGGGGAAUAUUGGACAAUGGAGGAAACUCUGAUCCAGCAAUUCUGUGUGUGUGAAGAAGGUUUUAGGACUGUAAAACACUUUUAGUAGGGAAGAAAAAAAUGACGGUACCUACAGAAGAAGCAACGGCUAAAUACGUGCCAGCAGCCGCGGUAAUACGUAUGUUGCGAGUGUUAUCCGGAAUUAUUGGGCUUAAAGGGCAUCUAGGCGGUAAGACAGGUUGAAGGUGAAAACCUGUGGCUCAACCAUAGGCUUGCCUACAAAACUGUUGAACUAGAGUACUGGAAAGGUGGGUGGAACUACACGAGUAGAGGUGAAAUUCGUAGAUAUGUGUAGGAAUGCCGAUGAUGAAGAUAACUCACUGGACAGAAACUGACGCUGAAGUGCGAAAGCUAGGGGAGCAAACAGG
rnacentral:rRNA from 1 species